rnacentral:lncRNA from 1 species
UGUACCUUAUGCCAUUUGUGUAAUUUGAUUUUUAACACAUUUAAUUUGUUUUUGUGAUAGUAUCUUAAGUAUGUAAAAAAUGGUAUUGUUUCUUUCACUUGUUCACAGAACUUGAAAAAUUGUCGUUUAAUUUGACUCUGUUGUGGGCGUGUAUAUUGGGCGAGAAAUGUGUCUCUUUUCCCCCGAUUUUGAUCUGACAUAUAAUCGUGUUGAAUUAGAUCUUUAUCUAAGGUGAAAUUAUAUGUUAGAGUAUUGAUUGAAUAAUCACUGUCUUCAUAGGGUUGGCUAAAUUGUCCUUCUCUCAAUAUUCCUUCUUGGAUUUUUAUACCUUUUGUAGUGUACUGAGGUUUAGUCUUGUGAUCAAAAGUUUCUUCUACUGGUUUAGUAUUAGACGUUUGACCUUGAAAGGGUCCUUGAUAUGAAGGAAUGGUUGAUUCUUCAGAUAUACUAGCUUCUGUAAUUUCUAUAUUUUGUUUUUGUUGGGAAGUUCCGAUUGAAUGUCUAGAUGGUUGGUAAAUACUAGGAGUAUUUUGUCUAAAAGAGUUUGAUCUUUUAUAUUUUAAUUCUAAUGAUCCAUCUUCAUUUUGUAUGAUAUAGUCGAUUUCUUUAUUUUCCUUAAUAGGUUUACUAGGUAUUGUUUUUGCUGGAUAUUUCCAAUUAUCUGGUAAAGUAACAUCUUUCCAUUGUAAUGUUCUUGGUAUACUUAUAUUAGCUUUGGUUUGGUCUAUUUCCCAAAAUACUGUUUCUCCU